rnacentral:rRNA from 2 species
UACGGAGGAUCCGAGCGUUAUCCGGAUUUAUUGGGUUUAAAGGGUGCGUAGGCGGCUUAUUAAGUCAGGGGUGAAAGACGGCAGCUCAACUGUCGCAGUGCCUUUGAUACUGAUGAGCUUGAAUGUGAUUGAAGAUGGCGGAAUGAGACAAGUAGCGGUGAAAUGCAUAGAUAUGUCUCAGAACUCCAAUUGCGAAGGCAGCUAUCUAAGUCAUGAUUGACGCUGAUGCACGAAAGCGUGGGGAUCGAACAGG